rnacentral:rRNA from 1 species
UACGUAGGGCGCAAGCGUUGUCCGGAAUUAUUGGGCGUAAAGAGCUCGUAGGCGGUCUGUUGCGUCCGCUGUGAAAACUCGGGGCUUAACCCCGAGCCUGCAGUGGAUACGGGCAGACUAGAGGUAGGUAGGGGAGAAUGGAAUUCCCGGUGUAGCGGUGAAAUGCGCAGAUAUCGGGAGGAACACCGGUGGCGAAGGCAGUUCUCUGGGACGGUACUGACGCUGAGACGCGAAAGCGUGGGGAGCGAACAGG